AGUUAUUUAGCUUAUAAAAAGCGUAUAUUUUGAAAAUAUAAGAAAGACUUACAAUUUAAUAACUU
rnacentral:tRNA from 1 species